rnacentral:rRNA from 1 species
GAGUAACCUGCCCCUGACUCUGGGAUAACUGCUGGAAACGGUGGCUAAUACCGGAUAUGAGACUGUCCUGCAUGGGGUGGUCUGGAAAGAUUUUUUGGUUGGGGAUGGGCUCGCGGCCUAUCAGCUUGUUGGUGGGGUGAUGGCCUACCAAGGCGACGACGGGUAGCCGGCCUGAGAGGGCGACCGGCCACACUGGGACUGAGACACGGCCCAGACUCCUACGGGAGGCAGCAGUGGGGAAUAUUGCACAAUGGGCGAAAGCCUGAUGCAGCGACGCCGCGUGAGGGAUGAAGGCCUUCGGGUUGUAAACCUCUUUCAGCAGGGAAGAAGCGAGAGUGACGGUACCUGCAGAAGAAGCGCCGGCUAACUACGUGCCAGCAGCCGCGGUAAUACGUAGGGCGCAAGCGUUGUCCGGAAUUAUUGGGCGUAAAGAGCUCGUAGGCGGUUUGUCGCGUCUGCUGUGAAAACCUAAGGCUCAACCUUGGGCUUGCAGUGGGUACGGGCAGACUAGAGUGCGGUAGGGGUGACUGGAAUUCCUGGUGUAGCGGUGGAAUGCGCAGAUAUCAGGAGGAACACCGAUGGCGAAGGCAGGUCACUGGGCCGCAACUGACGCUGAGGAGCGAAAGCAUGGGGAGCGAACAGGAUUAGAUACCCUGGUAGUCCAUGCCGUAAACGUUGGGCACUAGGUGUGGGGCUCAUUCCACGAGUUCCGUGCCGCAGCAAACGCAUUAAGUGCCCCGCCUGGGGAGUACGGCCGCAAGGCUAAAACUCAAAGAAAUUGACGGGGGCCCGCACAAGCGGCGGAGCAUGCGGAUUAAUUCGAUGCAACGCGAAGAACCUUACCAAGGCUUGACAUACACCGGAAAAGUGCAGAGAUGUGCUCCCCGCAAGGUCG